GUUUCUAGCAAUCAACAUCGGCUUGAUUCUUCGUUUUUACUCGAUACUUCUUACGAGAAUCAAGUAGAUGAUUGAUUAAAGGUGAACCCUCAUAGCUUAUGGUUUUCAAAAGUUAAAUCACCGCAAAUCUUCAAUUCUACAAGCUCCGGAAGGAGGUUCGGCGCGUGGAUCUCGCGCGAAGCCGAGGAUUCGGUGGACGCUUCGAGGAGUUGAGGCGUUGACGCUGCGAGGAGUUGCAGCAAGGUCGAUUGGUGGAUUCCUAUCGAUCGAGGACCGGCAAAGAUCACCGUCAACGAGAAAUCGGUAAAUUGAGUCGUGUGUUUUUGGUCGAAAUCACUUGUACUCAAGUUUUCUUAGUGGAUUUUCUUUGCGUGAUCGGUCCCGUGGGUUUUUCACUCCGAAUUGGAGUUUUCCCACGUUAAAUUCUCGGUGUGCUAUUUUAAUUUCCGCUAUUGUGUUUGUUUGCAUCGAGAUUUUUCGAGUUUGCCGGAUUUACACCUAUUCACCCCCCUCUAGGUGUUACUUACCUUUUAGAUCCUCGGGAUCCAUAACUUACAAGUGGUAUCAGAGCGGGUAUAGGUUGUAACUCAUGGCUGAGGGCGGUAACAUCAAUCGACCCCCUCUCUUCGAUGGAACUAACUAUGCUUAUUGGAAAGUCCGUAUGAGGGCGUUUCUUAUUGCUAUCGACGAGAGGGUUUGGCAAGCCGUUGAAUUCGGAUGGAAACAUCCUACUGAAGUGGUCGAGAAUGUUACCGGUCCGAAACCUAGAACUAAGUGGACAAAAGACGAAAACGAACUAUCUUCGUUCAAUGGGAAGGGUAUCAAUGCUUUGUUCAAUGCGUUGAAUCAAACUGAAUUUUCACGAGUAUCAGCAUGUGAAACCGCCAAAGAAAUUUGGGACACUUUACAAAUUACUCACGAGGGUACAAGCUUGGUAAAGGUUCAGAAAUUACAAAUGUUGACUAGUCGUUUUGAUGCUAUUCGUAUGGAAGAAAAUGAAACCUUUACCGAGUAUUACACUCGUCUUCAAGAUAUUGUCAAUACUUGUGCAAAUUUGGGUGAAAAAAUUUCUGAACCAAAAAUCGUUCGAAAAAUUUUGAGAACUCUUCCCGAACGUUUUCGUCCCAAGGUUGCGGCCAUUGAAACGGUAAAACAUCCGGAUGAACUCAAAGUAGAUGAACUAGUUGGUGCUCUUCAAACGUAUGAAAUGACUUUUCCUUCUAAUUCGUCUUCUUCCAAGUCUUUUUCUAAAGCCUCAGGCAUGGCUCUAAAAUCAACAAAAGGAGAUGUCUCGUCAACCUCAUCAGAUUCAGAGUCGGAGCAAAGCUUGGAGGACUUUGAGAAACAACUCGCACUUCUAACAAAGAAGUUCCGUCGGAACUUUAGAAAGAAGUUUCCUCCCAAGUCUAGUUCAUCAAAGACAAACAAAUCUAAAGGGGGUCCGUCUUCUUCUUCCUCGUCAAAAUACAGAAAAUCUGAUAACUCUCAAAAGGACUCCACAAAAGAGAGGAAAAGCGGUGAAGGUCAAAUCCAAUGCUACAAGUGUAGGGGCUUUGGCCAUAUAGCGUCUGACUGUCCUAAUAAAAAGACGUUGAAGAAGAAAGCUAUGCAAGCUAUGACUUGGGACGACUCCUCAUCUGACGAUUCUACUUCAAGCGAAGAGGAUGUAAAUGCCACGGCACUGUUUGCACAGGAUUCAACUUUCAUGUGUCUAGCAUCUACUGACUCGAUUUCUACGACAUCUAUACAAGAGAAGUCAUCUUCGGAGAACUCAUCGGAUGAAGAAUCGGACGAAGAUGACAUGGUCGCAGCAUAUCAACAAUUAGUUGUUGAAUCAAAGAAGAUGGCUAAACACAACAAGAGACUUCGGCGUAGUCUACAUGAGUUGGAACAAGAAAAUUCAAAGUUGGUCUCUCUAACAAAGGAUUUAGAACAAGAGAGAGAUGGGUUGACCAAGGCUUACAAUUCUUUGCUUGAGAAGUGUUCGUUACUUGAAAAUGAAAAGGAGACUCAGGCGGAGAACAUCAAGCAUCUUACCAAACAAAACUCAGAAGCUAGAGAAGCAAAUAUGGAAUUCACCAAGACGAUCAUUCAACUGAAGUCGGAUUUGAACCAAUUUUCAUCUGGCUCGAGCAAACUAGAUAAGAUGCUUGGACUUGGUCAGACAAAUAAACUUGGACUUGGUUAUGAACGAACAUAUAUUGAUCAAGUUACGAAGAACGAUGAUGGAAACUCGUCUACUGCUGUACCUAAACUUUAUGGUAAGUUUGUCCCUCCUAAAAAUAAUUUGGCUAACAAAACUUGUCAUAUUUGUGGUGUUUUAGGACAUAUAAAGAAAUUCUGCUUUCAAAAGGGAAAGAGCUCGAUAGCUCUCUUGAAGAGUGACCCUAGAAUGACAUUAAAGUCAAUUGUGACUCCAAAGAAGAUAGAACAAAAGAAGAGCCAAAUUCCGACACCAAAUACUCCGAAGCCAAAGGCAAAACCAGCAUGGAAACCAAAGAAGGAGGACAUGAAGGGGAAGUCAAUUCAAAUCGUCGACAAGCCACGAUCAACAAAAGCAAGCGAACGGACACAACCCAAAACACGUAAGGUUUGGGUGCGCAAAGGUGAACUCUUCCCAUGCCUAGUCAUUCACACUUCACUUCAUGCUUACGAUAACUCAUCUUGGUAUCUGGAUAGUGGCUGUUCCCGUCACAUGACCGGAGAUAAAAAUUGGUUUACUUCUUUGACCAAAAUCUCCGGAGGACUUGUUGUUUUUGGAGACGGUCGAUCGUCAAAAAUCGUUGGAAAAGGAACAGUGACUAUCUCAGACGGCCCUACGUUGAAUGAUGUUUUUUAUGUUGAAGGGCUUAAAUCUAAUCUCGUAAGCAUAAGUCAAUUGUGUGAUGAUGGGUAUUCGGUGAACUUUUCUGAUAAAGAAUGCCAUGUGACUCGUGAUGACAAUCUAUUCUUAAAGGGCAUUAGAUCUCAGAAUAAUUGUUAUGUAGUUCCUAGUUCGGCCACUGAACAUUGUAACCUAGCGUCAUUAGAAACUGAAACUUUAUGGCAUGAACGACUAGGUCACAUCAAUUUUAAGGAGCUAUCUAAGAUAACCAAGAAGGAGGUAGUUAGAGGUGUACCUAAGAUUGACUAUAAAGAGAACACUGUGUGUGGGGGUUGCCAAUUAGGGAAACAAACUAGAUCCACACAUAAGAACUUGAACCACUUAGGGACAACUAAACCUCUAGAGUUACUUCACAUGGACUUGAUGGGACCAUCUAGGAUUCAAAGUUUGGGUGGAAAACGUUAUAUUUUGCUUAUUGUUGAUGAUUUUACUCGCUAUGUAUGGAGUGCUUUCUUACGAGAAAAAGCUGAUACUUUUAAUUCUUUUUCUGAAAUCUGUCUCCGUCUUAUGACUGAACGAAAUGAUAAAAUUGUACGCAUUCGAAGCGAUCAAGGGGGAGAAUUCAUAAAUUCUAAAUUUGUUGAUUUCUGUGUUUCAAACGGUAUAAAACAUGAAUUCUCGGCCCCCUAUACACCCCAACAAAACGGAGUGGUUGAACGUAAGAAUCGGGUUGUACAGGAGAUGGCUCGUGUUAUGCUUCAUAGUAAGAAAAUUGCUUUACAUUUUUGGGCCGAAGCAGUUAACACAGCUGUCUAUGUUAUCAAUCGGAUUUAUGUACGUCCGGGCACUUUGAAUACGCCUUAUGAACUUUGGCUUGGUAGAAAACCUAACAUUAAAUACUUUCGUGUCUUCGGGAGUAAAUGUUUUAUCCUUCGGGAUCGUGAAAAUCUUGGAAAAUUUGACUCUCGCAGUGACGAAGGCAUAUUUCUUGGUUAUUCUACUACAAGUCGUGCCUAUCGUGCGUACAAUUUACGAACUAAGACGGUGAUAGAGUCUAUCAAUAUAAAAGUAGAUGAAGCUUCUUUUGUAAGUUCUUCUGUGAAUGGUUCUUCAAAUUCUUUGAUGAAUGACGAUGAUAAUGAUUCUCCGUUUGUAAUGCCUGUGAAUGAUGAUGUUUCUAUACCUGAUAAUUCCAUUGCAUCUUCUGAAAAUAUUGCAUCAAAUGAUUCAUCUGAGCCACAAAACAUCACGGCUGAAAUCCCGAGUACAGAGACUACCCCCCUGACAGAGUCAAGAGAUCAUCCUUUGUCAAAUGUGAUUGGGGAUCCUAAUGUUGGUGUGCGAACAAGAAGUCAGUUACAAUGUGAAUUUGCAUGUUAUGUUUCUUUGAUUGAGCCAAAGAAUGUUGACGAAGCUCUUGUUGAUGAAUAUUGGAUAAAUGCCAUGCAAGAAGAACUUGGUCAAUUUGUUCGCAAUGAUGUAUGGGAAUUGGUGCCUCGUCCUGAGCAACAACACAUUAUUGGUACCAAAUGGAUCUUUAAGAAUAAGAAAAAUGAGGAUGGUACUAUCGUGCGGAACAAAGCUAGACUUGUGGCUCAGGGGUACUCUCAAAUUGAGGGAAUAGACUUUGAAGAAACCUUUGCUCCGGUUGCCCGUCUUGAAUCUAUUCGUAUCUUGUUCGCGAUUGCUUGCCAUUUUAAAAUCACGCUCUUUCAAAUGGAUGUCAAAAGUGCGUUUCUAAAUGGAUUUUUAAAAGAGGAAGUUUAUGUUGAACAACCGAAAGGUUUUAUAGACUCAAAAUUUCCAAAUCACGUUUUUCGACUGAAAAAGGCACUUUAUGGACUAAAACAAGCUCCGCGAGCAUGGUACGAACGCUUAACAAAAUAUCUUUUGGAAAAGGGCUAUAACCGAGGGGGAGCAGAUAGAACUCUUUUUGUGAAGCAUCUGAAGAAUAAUUUCAUUGUAGCACAAAUAUAUGUGGAUGACAUAGUUUUUGGGGCUACUAAAGAUAAGGAUGCCGCUGAUUUUGCAAAGUUAAUGACCAGCGAGUUUGAGAUGUCGAUGAUGGGGGAGCUUAAUUAUUUCCUUGGACUUCAAGUUAAACAAUCAAAAGAUGGAAUUCAUUUGUCUCAGACCAAGUAUGCAAAGGAACUGGUUAAGAAAUUUGGAUUGGACAAUGCAAAGGAUUUUGACACUCCAAUGGGUACAAGCAACAAAGGACUUGGGUUGAGUUUGGAAGGACAGAGCGUGGAUGAGAAACAAUACAGAAGCAUGAUUGGGAGCCUAUUGUACUUGACUGCGAGCAGGCCAGAUAUUGCUUUUAGUGUUGGAAUGUGUGCUCGCUAUCAAGCUAAUCCUAAGGAAGUCCAUCUGAAAGCGGUUAAAAGGAUCAUUCGGUACGUUAAGAGUACAACCGCGUAUGGACUUUGGUAUCCUAUGGGAACAUCUCUUGAUCUAAUCGGCUACUCAGAUGCUGACUGGGCAGGAUCUGCAGAUGAUCGGAAAAGUACUAGUGGAGCUUGUUUUUACAUUGGACACUGUCUGGUUGCUUGGCACAGUAAGAAGCAAAACUGUAUUGCUCUUUCAACUGCAGAAGCUGAAUACAUUGCGGCCGGGAGUUGCUCUACACAAUUGAUCUGGAUGAAGAGUUUACUGAGCGACUAUCGAAUCCCUUCCACCACUCUUAGUAUUCUUUGUGACAACACAAGUGCAAUUAAUAUUUCUAAAAACCCUGUUUUACAUUCACGAACAAAACAUAUUGAAUUAAGAUAUCACUUUUUAAGAGAACUGGUUGAAUCAAACAUUCUACAACUUGAAUAUAUUUCAACUGAAAGUCAACUUGCAGAUAUUUUAACAAAACCUUUGGAUCAAAAACGUUUUCUGCAUUUAAGAAAAGCGAUUGGUAUGAAUCCUUCAAUCUAGAUAUAUUCUAUUGGGCCAUAGAUCAUGUGCAUGUUGCAUCUUAUUUUUGUGAAUGGUUUCUGGUAUUUCCUGAUUGUGCUUGAGAGAUGAUUGAAUUUCUUGAUUAAUGUUGCUACUUUUGGGAGAUGAAUCGGUUCGUAACUUUAAUUAUUUCAUAUUUAAUUUUUGAUUGAUCACUGUCAAGGUUGUUCUAUAUUGUCAUAAUUGUUGAACGAUCAAAUCAUUGAGAUUCUGUUUUGCAUACUGAAUCAAAUUCAACACCUCUUGCUUCGAACUUUGAAUGUUGCUAUUGUUUAUCUGAUUAUGAGUUUUGAGAUGAAUAACUCUUUCUCUGUUUUUGAAAUUGAAAUAAUAUUUUUGACUUGAGGGUUGCACUAAUUUAGGAAGAGUCUUUCCAAUUUUGGUUAUGAAAGUUUCUGAUAUUCAAGAUGUGGAAAGAGUUACAUCCCUGCUGGAAGUGUGAAAACUACCACCAUAUGGAGGAAAGAGCUACCACCCUGGUCGUCUGGUCAGUGUGUGCAGCUACCACAUGUUGAUUAAAGUAUCUCUAUGAAACAAAAAGAAAGUACCUUUCAGAGAUAAAAAGAAAAAUGCUCAAAGAGCUAUACAUCUCAUAGGUGAUAUAAGGUGGAAUGUUAAUUAAAAAAAAAAAGAUGCUCAAAGAGCCACUCCUGUCUCGAACAUUGUGCAUAACUUAAUUUGAACAUAUUAUUUUGAUUUCAUGAUUUGAGAAUUAUUUAUAUAUUUUCUUUAACAAAUAUGAUGAUAAAACAAUACAAUAAAUUCCUAAAUCUUGCAUGAUGUGUGGAAUUUUAUUUUAUAUGUAUCUAGAAUUGUCAUUGAUUUUCGGGUCAACAAUUUUGCCAAAUUGAGUAUCCUUGAAAUUGAUUUUUUUUUCAAAAUUUAUUUAUGAAUUUUUUCUUUGAAGUUAUUGGAAUGGAAAUAAGUUAUUUUUGUUGGUUUAUCAUUGUGGAAUUUCAUAUAUUUUUCCUGGAAUUUUUGAAGCUUAUUUUAAAUUUUUUAAAAAUUCUAGGCUCUGGGACCGGUCCCAGACAGAAGAGACCGGUCCCUCCGCCCGACCCAAUAAAGGGGUUUUUGCUCGUGUGUCUUGUACACAUUUCACAAAUUUCCCUGUUUGUUCCUCUUGCACUUUUCUUGCCUCCAGAGCAUUUUUCCUCACAUUCCUCGUGGUUUAGCACCGAUUUGAGGUAUGAUUUUCGGAUUUUGUUGCAUUUGUAUCAUAUACUCCGAAAAUGUGUUUCGUUUCCGAUUUUUUGAUGCUUGUUCUAGAGAUCUUGCUGAAAGAUGCAUAUUUAUGCUUCGAUCUUGUUAUUAGAACUGUUGUUUUCAUAUUUUCUAGUAUUUCUUUGUUUUUGGAACAAGUUUUGUAGGUUUUUCAUCAUCAAAACCUAGGUUUUCAAAGUUUUCCUGAAAAGAUUUGUUUUUGCUGAUUUAGUUGCAUGAUUAGUUCAUGUUUCUCAUGAUUAUGUGGCUCCUAGGAUUAUCUAGUAUUUAUAUAUCAAUUUGCUGAAAAUUUUUUUUGGAAUUAAAAAAAAAAUUAAGUGUUCUUAUGUUUCAUAUGUAAAUAUUUUUAUGUUUAACAGGGGAUUUCUUCAAAAUGUAUUCAUUGUUACUUGUGCUUGUGGUCCUGAUGGCCGGGGGUGGUCGUGGAAGCAAACGACAGCGCUCCAAAGCUAAACGGCCGAUUGAGUAUCAACCGGAAGAUGAAGAGAGCGAAUAUGCUCCUGGCGACGACUCUGAGGAGGAUGAACCGGAUUGGGAGGCUUUUGUUCCCGAGGUAUUAGCUAAGGAUAAGGAUACUGGGAAAGGCAAGGGAAAAGGAAAAGCCGUGGAUAAAGGCAAAGGAAAGGCGACUGAGCGUUCCGGUCGUCGUAAGUCCGGGGGUGUUGAGAUUCGAGAACCGGGCUCUGAACCACCACGUCGCAGUCUACAGGAUGUUCCAUCUAAUCGACGGUCAAUGUAUUCGUCGAAACACUGCAUUGGUGAGCGAGAUGUUGGGGUGGCCAGUAUUAUUAGUUGUGUGCCGGGUUUUCAGGAUUUGUUUGAACAGGGGAAUCUUCAUCAGAUUUGUGAUUUCCCGGAGCAAACCGGUUAUUGUUUGGAGUUGAUCAGAGAAUUUUACAUGAGAGCAGGUCACCUCAGUGACUCCGACGGCGGUCCGUACGUGUUUAAGACUUCCGUACGUGGUGUUGAGUUAUCCAUCACUCCUGAGACAAUAGCUUCGGUGCUAGAGAUGGAAGCUAAGACUGACGGAGUGGAGUAUCUGCAGGCCGGGUUCGACUCACUUCGCGAUUGGAACCGUGUCGUGAACACUAUUUGUAUGCCGGGUACUGAAUCAAACGGCAUUAUGGUUAUGUCAAAAGAUUUCAAAAUGGAGUACAGGUUUCUGAACUUUGUGGUUUGCUACAACAUCAUGCCUCUCGCGAACACGAAAAUCUUGAGAUGGGAUCGGAUUCUGUACAUGUAUCUCUUGGGUAGGCCAGAUAUUGUGAGUGCGAAAAACAUUAACAUGAAUAUUCCGUUUCUGAUCUGGCGGCGGAUGGCGAAAGACAUCAAAACCUCUGGGCAAAAUGAGAGGUUACCAUUUCCUUUGAUAAUUAUGCGGAUUUUGCGACUUCGUGAGGUGGAUGUUCGGUGUACAUCAUACGAGCACAGUUUGGGUCGGAUCAAUGAAAGGACGUUUGUAAAGUCCUCGGUGCAGCUUCGUACGCCGUCUCAACGUGCUUCUUCCCCUCCUGCAGCUCCACCUCCUGCUACUGCUACUUCUUCACGUCCUUCUAUGGACAUUUCUGAGGAAGAUAUUUCCGUUUCAUCGGUGUAUCGCGAGCAGCAACGUCUAUCUGAGGAGCUUCAGAAGUUGUCUGCAGAACAAGCUGCGAUUCGUAAGGAUGUGAGCAAGAUGAAGCGCUUGUUGAAUAUGAUUUUUGACAAAUUAGGAUGUUGUCGGGCAGAUUUACCUCCAGGAGAUGAUUCUGACUAGGAGUUACCGAGCUUCUCCUUUUGUCGUUUUGGCGCUUUCUGACAAAAAGGGGGAGAUGGAUGGGAUGGUCUUAAUGAUGAUGAUGAUGCAUUAUUCUUGAUGUUUAGUUAGUUAAGAUGUUUAAUUAUGAACUAUGAUGCUUUAGGUGUCUGACUUAGUGCUUUAGGUGUUUGUGACUAUGAACUAUGAAUUAUGAACUAUGACUUGAUAGUUUGUUUGAUCUUGAUACUUGAAUCUUGAUUAUGUUUUGAGAAUGUUUUUGCAGGAAUAAUUCAAGACUUCAAGACUCCAUGUCUAAGUCAUAGAGUUUGUAUUAAGGUUGUAAAAGUGUAAAUUUUGUUUAUUGGAUUGAUCAUGCAGGAGAUUAUCGUUUGGUGAUUGCGAUGAUCUUCUUUUUAUGAUUUAUUAGUUGUAUACGAACUUUGUAGUAUAUUUUGUCACGAAAUCGCCAAAGGGGGAGAUUGUUAAGGAUUUUAUAGGUUGGCGAAUUUCGUAAAGUUGUUUGGAGUCUUGAAGAGUUGAUCGCAGAAGUUUUUGAGAAGAGAUUCAAAUUGGAGGACGAAGACUCAUUCGGAAAGCUCGACACCUAAGGUAUGAAGAAAAGAUCAUUUGUGGUGAAGAUAUAUAAUUAGAAUAAGUUCAGAAGGCUUAGAUUGCUUUAAAAUAAUUUUUCUGAACUUUCAUGUGUUCUGGGACCGGUCUCUGAGAUUGAGAGACCGGUUCCCCUAAGGUCCUCACUGCGUAAACUGUGAUGCAACCGGUCCCCUGUGAUGAGAGACCGGUUCCCGAACCAUGGUGCUUCUGUCGCGCAGCGAGGGACCGGUCUCAAGUUUGAGAGACCGGUUCCCGAACGUUGGGUUUUUGGUCACGCAGAGAGGGACCGGUUCCUCACUUGAGAGACCGGUCUCUCACAGACCGGUCUCCUCGAGAGGACCGGUCUCUGAGGACGACACAGGUUUUUAAAAACGACUUUUUGCAAUCCUAGUCUACUUCUAAGUCUUCUAAACAUAUAAAUAAGCUAUGUGGGUCAUCUAAAAUUAAGGCUUUGAAUAUUUUACCAAUUCUAAACCCUAGAAACUUAAUUCUCUCCGUUUCGAUGCUUAGAUGAGUUUCUAGCAAUCGACAUCGGCUUGAUUCUUCGUUGUUACUCAAUAAUUCUUACGAGAAUCAAGUAGAUGUUUGAUAAAAGGUGAACUCCCAUAGCUUAUGGUUUUCAAAAGUUAAAUCACCACAAAUCUUCGAUUCUACAAGCUCCGGAAGGAGGUUCGGCACGUGGAUCUCGUGUGAAGCCGAGGAUUCGGUGGACGUUUCGAGGAGUUGAGGCGUUAACGCUGCGAGGAGUUGCAGCAAGGUCGAUUGGUGGAUUCCUAUCGAUCGAGGACCGGCAAAGAUCACCAUCAACGAGAAAUCGGUAAAUUGAGUCGUGUGUUUUUGUCGAAAUCACUUGUACUCAAGUUUUCUUAGUGGAUUUUCUUUACGUGAUCGGUCCCGUGAGUUUUUCACUCCGAAUUGGAGUUUUCCCACGUUAAAUUCUCGGUGUGCUGUUUUAAUUUCCGCUAUUUUGUUUUGUUUGCAUCGAGAUUUUUCGAGUUUGCCGGAUUUACACCUAUUCACCCCCCUCUAGGUGUUACUUACCUUUUAGAUCCUCGGGAUCCAUAUCUAACAUUCCUCAUAUUUCUCAUCACAUCGGGAAACACACUCCGAUCCGAUCACCGGCAUUGCCUAGAAGCAAUAUUGUCGGUGCAUCGACCAAUCGCACGCGCUCCGAUCUCAAUCGAAUCUCUGGUCUAUCACGAGAUGGCACACCCCUGCACAUCUCCAACCUCAAUCCCUUUGAGAGCUCCAAUCCUCACGUGGCUAUCCAUUAUGCUAGUGUCUCCUAGAGACCACUUUACUUUCUCUUUAUCCUUUGACACUAUAAGCCACGUUCAACACCACACGAACCCUCCGUUCGUGAAUCCAAGCCCAACUCACUAACAGAGUUGCUCGCCGCACCGAUCAUCGGUUUUCACAAGUGGACCAAGGGCCACCAAUCCUACGUAGGCCAGCCGCCUAACUCGUCUCAACGACGCCUAGCGUCUCUCGCUCGCAAGCGUAGACCCAAUCAUCAUUUUCGGACGAAAUUCUCACUUGAAAAUUCGCACACACUCCAACCAGGAGCAACCACGACCCUGAACCACAUCGAGUCCUCGGGUUGGGUCGCUACACCCUCGGUGUACUAUCAAUCUCAUGAUCCAACACAUGGCCUUCCACGUACCUGGGUCUAAGCUUGGACUACCGUCCUGACCAACACUCUGCCCUACCUAUAGGUAUCGGGAAUUUCGCGAUUUCGCGAUUUCGCACUUCUCGAGCAAUAAUCAACGCCGGAAACUCCUCGUAACUCAUAUUCUCGUGCAAUCCCGGCGGUGUAUAUGACAAUAUAUGCUCGGGAUUGUGGAUAUAUUUGCGGAGGUUGGAGACAUGGAAGACAUUGUGAACAUUGGCGAGCUUCGGCGGCAACGCGAGCCGAUAAGCCACCGCACCAAUCCGCUCCAACACCUCGUACGGCCCAACAUAUCGGGGACUCAACUUUUCCCGCACUCCGAACCGCUUCACGCC
rnacentral:lncRNA from 1 species